GUUGCAAAGAUUUAGUAUAUUUUGUAAAGAGUAGAAGGCAAGUUGUGGAUGCAAUAGCAACUUUAAUUAGGGUAAUUUAAGGGGUUAAAAAAUGCAAGUAUGAUAUAAACAUACUUAAUUUUUUGUAUAGGUCUAUUUGUGUACUUUAAGGUAUAUGAUCAUGUGAUUUUGGAUGCUUUAUCUAUAGUUAUAGUAAUGAAAUAUAUGGUAUCUAUAUUUUUUUUCCAAAAAGGAAUAACAGAUUACAUGUCAAAUUGUUUAGCAUUUGAUACUUGAAAUUACAUUUGGUGAACAACAAUAAAAAAAAAUGCUAUUUUAUUUACCAACAUUCAUAACAUUUUACAAGUGCUACUGUAGAAAGAUUCAAAAUUUUCCAUAGCAUUUACUAACAGUUACAUUACUUAUAUUUUUAUUUUUAAUUUUGUAUUGACUGUAACAUUACCAAAAUGUUAUAACUAUUAGUAAAAUUGCAUCGUCAAAGAGCUAUGAAAGGCUGGUGGUACCAUUAUUAAAUGUUAUAUAUGUCAUUUUGUAGCAUUGCAUCUACACGAAGUGUAAAAUAAGAUUUGGUAACCAUUUUUAAAUGCUAUGUACAUUCGAAUUGUUAGCAUUUAAUAGAUGCUAUUAAAUGGUAAGACUUUUAAUUACAUAGGCAAACUUAGCGUUGCCUAAAAUGCUACAAAUCACCUUUGGUAGCAUUUUUUGGAUGCAAUCAUACAUCCUUUUUGUUAUAGUGAUGUUAGGAAUGGGUAUGGGCUGAAAUGGAAUGAAAAAUAAAAAUUAGAAUAAGUUGUUUACUUGGAAUCAGAAUUGGAAAGUACUUAAUAAUUAUUUUGUAUUUUAAUUAUUGUGAUUAUUUAUUCAAACAUUAUUAUUAUUAAUUUUUGUUAAAUAUAUAUUAAUAUAUUAAUUAAUUUUUAUCAUUUUAUCAUUAAUAACAAUAAUAAUAAUAAUAAUAAUAAUAAUAAUAAUAAAUUCAAAAUAUAUAAAGUAAUUAGAUUAAUUAUAAUAUUUUUUUAAUUGGGGACAAAAUGUACAUUUUUUAUUUUGGGGGGGGGGGGUAAAAUAUUCAAUCUUCAGAAUGGGAGAUUGAUUCCCACCAACUCUUUGGGAAUCAAUCUCUCAUUUCAUAUUUUCAAAUUCGAAUGGAUCCCACGAUUCUAAUUUCUAUUUCAUCCUUUAUUUGACAAAGUAAACGUUGGCAAUAAUUUCGACUCUAGAUUUAAAUUUUAUAAUUUUAAAAGUAAACGCACGAUAAGAGUUCACAACAAACCAUUAUUAAUGAUGUAAAAUCUCAUACAACAUCGUACAUUCACGAAACUUUUUAUCAAUACACCCUUCAUUUUCUAAAGUUUAAUUUUUGGACAUUAAAUAAGGGUGCAUUUAUGAGGUGCAUUGAAAGUUGCCAUUUUUCAGAAUGAACCUUUUUAGUUCGAACAUCAUAAAAUGAUCGUACGUAAUUUUAAAACAAAAACGAAUAUCAUAUCUGGGAUCUGGUUGUUGUCGGAUCUAUCUCGAUUAAAUUCUCCACGAGCAUGCACAUGGAAUUAUAGCCUCUCUUUGAGAAAAUUCUUUAGUGGAUUCACAUAUUGCAUCCGUUGCCCAAAGAAGGCAUUAGUAAUUAGUUUUGUUUGACACUUAAAAGAGGCUGAGGAAUGUUUGACUGAAAAAGAUGCAUAUUAAUUACCCAAAAUCCGCUUCAAAGUUCAGGAGUCUAAUUAUCACCGUAAUAAAAUUGUCUUCUUCUUUUGGGCACAAGCAAUAAUCGCAUCACUACAUACUCACUUUGGAAAGGAGGAUGACACGACAAAAUGCGGCAAGCUUUGCAGUAUCCAAGUCCAAUAUUCAUGCCGAAAAAUUAGCGCAAUCAUUAGAAAUUUAUGCACUUUCAUGCAGAGGGCUUUAUUUUGUUUUAUUUUUUUACCCUUCAUCUUUUUUCUUGUUAUACAGUCAGAUAAAUGGCUCAGAAAAAUAAUUAUCAUUAAGAUCAUUUUUUUUUAAUUGCAUUACAAUCACUACAUAGGUCAUGUUUCCUUUUAAAAAAUAGAACGAAAAGAGAAAGAUAUGGUAAAGGAAGGACUAAGGAGGGGAGGAGCAUUGUUAGAAAUAUACUUUUAGAAAAUACUGAGAAUAUAUUUAAACUAAUUUUAUGCGAUUGAUAUAUAAAAGCAGCAUAAAAUGCACGUAUAAGAAAAAUAUAUAAAUUAAGUAAAUGUUAGAAUAAUCUAGCAUGUGCUAGGGAGAGAGGGACACAGUAACAUUAUAUGACCUGUGACGAUCAAUAAGUUAUAGAAGCAAAUCUUAGAUCUAUCACUUAACUUCAUCAGACACUGAUCUAUUAUUGCUAUCAUUCUUGCCACCUUCAGGCGUAUGCUGUCUAAAUGCAUACCUUCUAAAGCAUUCGUUGACGUAAAACAUAGUUUUGCAGUAGAUAUAUCUAUUGGGCACGGAGGCUUUCAAAUGUCCUUAUAUUUUUUCCGGUGACGAUUACUUGUGUCCACAUGUUGAAUUGUUGAUAUUCAUUAUUACACAAACAAGUGGUCCUUAUUUGCUCUAUAUGCAUCUUCUUCCAUGGUCUCUGUCAUCAUGACCUAACCACUACCCAGAACCUUUCCUAGAUUCUCUGUUACUGCAAGAGAAAUAGGUUGAUACUGUCCAUUAGUCAAAUAUGCGAAGCUAAUUUGAGACAAGAGUCAAGGGGCAACCGUGCACAUCAACAUGGCAUCCAAGGGCCCACCGCUUGCAUAUGCGAUGCUGAUCUCACCAUUUUUGCUUCACGUCCUAUGCACAUCUCAUGUGAUUUUACUAUCAUAUUGUACGUGAUGAGUUACAUCUUAGGCACACCACUUAAGUCGCACCACUUGAUAAGUAGAUGAAAAUUAUGUAUAACCAUGUGAGUUUUGCAAUUAAUUAUUGAAUGAAUUUAUAAUAUCUCUCUCGGUUUAAAACAAUUCUUAUCCUUUAUGAAAUACUUUGUAGGAAAUACUUUUCAUCUAAAUCUGUUAAUAUUAUAUUUGAUAGGAUCUAACUGUCAAAUACAAGUGUUUUAAUUUUUGACUUAUAGAUAACGACAUAUCAAUAAAAAUAACAUGUCCCUGUAAACUUCUUUACAUAUCAUCUAUUAUAUUUAUGGAAAAAACCAGCGGCGAAGCUAGCGCUAUUUUUUGAGUGGGCUAGAUUUUU
rnacentral:lncRNA from 1 species